CCUACGGGAGGCAGCAGUGGGGAAUAUUGCACAAUGGGCGCAAGCCUGAUGCAGCCAUGCCGCGUAUGUGAAGAAGGCCUUCGGGUUGUAAAGCACUUUCAGCGGGGAGGAAGGCGUUAAGGUUAAUAACCUUGUCGAUUGACGUUACCCGCAGAAGAAGCACCGGCUAACUCCGUGCCAGCAGCCGCGGUAAUACGGAGGGUGCAAGCGUUAAUCGGAAUUACUGGGCGUACAGCGCACGCAGGCGGUCUGUCAAGUCGGAUGUGAAAUCCCCGGGCUCAACCUGGGAACUGCAUUCGAAACUGGCAGGCUAGAGUCUUGUAGAGGGGGGUAGAAUUCCAGGUGUAGCGGUGAAAUGCGUAGAGAUCUGGAGGAAUACCGGUGGCGAAGGCGGCCCCCUGGACAAAGACUGACGCUCAGGUGAGAAAGCGUGGGGAGCAAACAGGAUUAGAUACCCGUGUAGUC
rnacentral:rRNA from 1 species